AGAGUUUGAUCCUGGCUCAGAAUCAACGCUGGCGGCGUGCCUAACACAUGCAAGUCGAGCGAGAAAGGGGGCUUCGGCCCCUGAGUACAGCGGCGAACGGGUGCGUAAUACAUGAGCAAUCUAUCCUUGAGGCGGGAAUAACCCAGCGAAAGUUGGGCUAAUACCGGAUGAGACCACAGGAGGAAACUCCCGGGGUCAAAGGCAGCUUUCUUUUGGAAGCGGCCCCUCGAAGAGGAGCUCAUGUCCUAUCAGCUAGUUGGUAGGGUAACGGCCUACCAAGGCGAAGACGGGUAGCUGGUCUUAGAGGAUGAUCAGCCACACUGGGACUGAGACACGGCCCAGAUUCCUACGGGAGGCAGCAGUCGGGAAUCUUGGGCAAUGGGCGGAAGCCUGACCCAGCGACGUCGCGUGGAGGAAGAAGGCCUUCGGGCUGUAAACUCCUUUUCCAAGGGACGAGCAAGGGCGGUACCUUGGGAAUAAGCUCCGGCUAACUACGUGCCAGCAGCCGCGGUAAUACGUAGGGAGCGAGCGUUACCCGGAAUCACUGGGCGUAAAGGGCGCGUAGGCGGCCGAGGCAGUUGGAUGUGAAAGCCCGGGGCUCAACCCCGGAGGUGCAUCCGAUACUCCUUGGCUGGAGGCCGGAAGAGGAGGGUGGAAUACCCAGUGUAGAGGUGAAAUUCGUAGAUAUUGGGUGGAACACCGGUGGCGAAAGCGGCUCUCUGGUCCGGUCCUGACGCUGAGGCGCGAAAGCGUGGGGAGCAAACAGGAUUAGAUACCCCUGUAGUCC
rnacentral:rRNA from 1 species